rnacentral:lncRNA from 1 species
AAACACAUGGAUGAAGAUCUUCGUCGUCACGGUCGAUCUUCGCAGAAUCUGCCAGUGGUGGUUCCCAUGUGCGAGCCCAUGUGCCUCAACAGCUAGUUUCUUCAGAUUGACACACGUCUUCCCACGUCCCACGUAGUUUAUAUUGAUCGUCGGAUGAACUACAGGGACGUCAGCCACUUGUAACCACGGGAUGGCGCGUGCUGUGAAAGUGCUCCAACGUAAGUGCACCUUCAAGCGAGCGCCAUCGGCUACGUUGUCACGCAGCAAAAGCCAAUCUGUUCAUUCUGAUUACAGUGUGUAUUUACGGCGACGUGUCUUGAAGAAAAUGUCAUGAGAGGAUCGUGAUCUUAUCAUUUCUCAGGUAAGCACAGCUUAUUUUAUUUUUAUGUAUUUCAACUCUUCAAAAAUGAAAUAAUGCAUGUAACAGAAAAAAAAAUGACGUCAUGUUGUAAUAAUUAAUCAGCUGUUCCCCAACACUGGAAAAAGAUUUGCACUGCUUGGUAACAACUGGUUAGUUUCAACUGAUUUUGAAAGUUUCAUUUGUAAAUCAGGAAAUUCUCAAUCAUAAUAUUCUUUAACUAUGGUUCUUAACUUUCUUGGUCUUGACGUUUGCCUUUGCGCUUAACCCAUCUGUGUUCGAUUGCUUCGCUGUUUUCAUAAAAUUCCCUUUGAAGGUUUUUAUACUGUAAAGCGUCCCCCCCCCCUAUUUUACGCUUCCGCAAGCGCUCUUUCAACCAGUCCUCUGGAUUUUAAAGCUUCGUUGUAUUCUUGAGUAAUUUUCCUCUCAAAGUAUUCGACUUCGUGAUGGGCAAUUAUAUUGGCAUCUAAAACCCACCUCAAAUAGUCGGCAGUUAAAUGUUUAUAAACUUUUGCCAUCACUUUUAGCGGCUGCCUUUCGAAAAUGGGUUUCAGCCAAUUCUCAUUGACCGAGUGAAAUAUAUAUAUUUCGUAUUAAUAUAAAUAAACAGGCAUUACCGAGCAUACGCCAUACGGUUAAAAACAAACAAGCAGAUUUCACAAAUCGAACAGCGCGAAUCACAAAUUAAUUUCCCAUUUUCCCUUACCUCUUAAAAAGACUGUCAAAACGAAGUAUACCACUCGAUUCAUAUAUAGCUUAGGACUAUCUUUUACUGAAGCUGGAGCGUGAAUGCCAAUUGCCAACGCUUUCUUGUAACAAUUUGGGGCGACGUCAUCAGCGGAUAACUUGGGAACGGUUGCUCGGUGUUGCAACGCUAGUCGGCAGUUUGAAUGUACAGCGGAGUCCAAUGCCACAAUUUAAAAUCUCCAGGAUUUCCGUCUGCGGUUGUUGGCUACGAGUCAAGUCUAGUUCAUACGUACACGAUUUAACAUGUUGAUUAUUAAAUAUUUCUCGCGACGAUAAUUUGCAGAUUAAAUUGGACGUCAAACAUUGGGUAAAAACCCUGAUUCGAUCAGGUUUUUUUAUACUGCUGUUGGCAUCUUACUCAUUGCUCUUUCUUAGGUUAUGCACAUAUAAUUCGUCGUUACUUUAUCCAUCCAAUGCCGGAUGUGUAUUAGCACUGAUACCGGUCGGCAUCGGUUGCCAUCAUUUGCCAACAACACCAAAUAAAACAAGGCAUUUUCUCGUCGACAGUAAGACGAACGGUGGGGAAGAAACAAAAACCAAAACUCAAAUCUUAUUGCCCUCUUUUCCUUUGGGUUUCUUACGAUCCUUUUGAUCCUACUAUUUUAUAGGUCCAUUCGCUGACGAGGAUUGGGCAUAUUUUUUCUUCC